GACAGAGGGUGCAACCGUUGCUCGGAAUCACUGGGCGUAAAGGGCGUGUAGGCGGGAAUGUAAGUCGGGCGUGAAAGCCCCAGGCUCAACCUGGGAACUGCACUCGAAACUGCGUUUCUUGAGUAUCGGAGAGGAAAGCGGAAUACCUGGUGUAGAGGUGAAAUUCGUAGAUAUCAGGUGGAACACCAGUGGCGAAGGCGGCUUUCUGGACGAUUACUGACGCUGAGACGCGAAAGCGUGGGGAGCAAACAGG
rnacentral:rRNA from 1 species